rnacentral:misc_RNA from 1 species
ACUGCUGGGGUGUGAGGGAGAUAGAUGUAUCUUGUUCCACCUAGACCCAUUUGGGUAUUAUGAAUAAAAUUCUCUUCUUCUUUCUUGCUGCAACUCUCUAUUCUGCACUUUUAUUGUUCAGUUUUCGAUCACUGUGAUUCCUUACUCCAUCAGCAGAUCUGAGCUAUUGGGAGGGUUUUCUUUCUUUGAUUUGUGCUUGUGUUUGUCGAGGUGUGCUGUGGUUAUGUGAUUCAUGAUGGUGUUUAGUUUAUCUUCAAAGGCUGGCAUUCUCGAGGACAUUUCGACACUAAUAGUUAGUUUUCCAAUCCCUCAAAAGUUAAAAGAGAUUAAGAGUUCCUAAACCUCUACCAAGCUUCCUCUUCUCUCUCCAAAACCAUCCAUGGCUUUGGGUUCUUCAAGGUGGCUAUUUGUGGAUCCUAGCUCAGCUCAAUGAUUCGAGGGAUGUUUUUCUUCUUUCGGGUCUUUCGGAUCUUUCGAUGUGGUUCUCAGCUUGCUUGACCUUUCUAUGUUUUUCUCGAUGAGUUAAAGCUUUCUUAGCGAUUGCCUUUUUGUGACAUUGGUGGCGAAGCAACUGCCUCCAUGUUGCUCUACUGCUGCCACAGAAAGUUCCUAUUUUUGGUAGAUCUCCAACCCUAGUUAGGGUAUGUUUUGUAUGGGCUUAGCCUUCUUGUGGGUUGGCAGGUUGGUCUUUUAGUCUAAGAUCUUACCUAUUUUGGCCAAGGGCUUGUAUGAGUUUGUACUCCUGCUAAUCUUUGACAGUAAUGAAUUAUCUUUUACCCU